rnacentral:rRNA from 1 species
ACUCYUACGGGAGGCAGCAGUGGGGAAUAUUGCGCAAUGGGCGAAAGCCUGACGCAGCGACGCCGCGUGGGUGAUGAAGGCCUUCGGGUCGUAAAGCCCUGUCGGGUGGAACGAAUUCCUGCCUGGCUAAUACCGAGGCAGAUUGACGGUACCRCYGAAGGAAGCCCCGGCUAACUACGUGCCAGCAGCCGCGGUAAUACGUAGGGGGCGAGCGUUGUUCGGAUUUACUGGGCGUAAAGAGCGCGUAGGUGGUUCGAUAAGUCGGAGGUGAAAGCCCUCGGYUCAACCGAGGAUCCGCGUCCGAUACUGUUGGACUUGAGUGCGGGAGAGGAGAGCGGAAUUYCCAGUGUAGCGGUGAAAUGCGUAGAUACUGGGAGGAACACCGGUGGCGAAGGCGGCUCUYUGGACCGUUACUGACACUGAGGCGCGAAAGCUAGGGGAGCAAACGGGAUUAGAUACCCCGGUAGUCCUWGCCGUAAACGAUGGGCMCUAGGUGUGGGAGGUAUCUACCCCUUCCGUGCCGCAGCURACGCAUUAAGUGCCCCGCCUGGGGAGUACGSCCGCAAGGUUGAAACUCAAAGGAAUUGACGG